GUUGGUUUCAACACAUCAAUUUUGAGAGGACACCAACAUUCAGUCCAUAACAGAUGCCUAAUAAGAACCAGAUAUAUUACACCUGGAUCAGCAAAGCUCUGAUCUAUAACCUACUAAAGCUCAGGUUAGGCUGGGAGGUAGCAAGGCCUGUCAGUUCAGAGGCUGGAGAGGGUAUGCUGGCAGUAUCUUUCCCACAAGGUCACCUUGCUUGGUACAGAAGGACAAGUAUCAAGCAUGGGUCACAGAUAAAAAUGAUGAUGUUCAUCAAAGAAGAAGUUUCUCUUGAUACAGGGAGAGUAUACUUUGAGCCUGCAUGUGGUUUGCUUACAGCAAUGUUUAAAGGCAUACUUAAUGUCCACAAGGGUCUGGAAGGCACUUGCAAAGUAGGGCUUGCCUUUGCUAUCGCUAUGGAAAUUGCAUGCCCCAAGUGGCCUGAUGGUUCUAGAAAGAUGGAGCCACUUGAAGAAGAUCACGGAUUGCAGAGUUGCCUUGGCCAACCAGCAGAUGUAUGAAUAUAAAG
rnacentral:lncRNA from 1 species